rnacentral:snRNA from 1 species
AUACUUACCUGGCACAGGAGUGACUUUGAUCAAGAAGGAAUGUCCUCCCAAGGUGAGGCCUCGGCAUUGCACUUGGCUGAGGUUGACCCUUGCGAUUCCCCCAAAUGUGGGGAACUCGGGUGUAUAAUUUAUGGUAGCGGGGGACUGCGUUCGCGCUAACCCCUA